CACGUAGGGCGCAAGCGUUGUCCGGAAUUAUUGGGCGUAAAGAGCUCGUAGGCGGUCUGUUGCGUCCGCUGUGAAAACUCGGGGCUUAACCCCGAGCCUGCAGUGGAUACGGGCAGACUAGAGGUAGGUAGGGGAGAAUGGAAUUCCCGGUGUAGCGGUGAAAUGCGCAGAUAUCGGGAGGAACACCGGUGGCGAAGGCGGUUCUCUGGGCCUUACCUGACG
rnacentral:rRNA from 1 species